GGCGAACGCUGGCGGCGUGCUUAACACAUGCAAGUCGAACGGAAAGGCCCUGCUUUUGUGGGGUGCUCGAGUGGCGAACGGGUGAGUAACACGUGAGUAACCUGCCCUUGACUUUGGGAUAACUUCAGGAAACUGGGGCUAAUACCGGAUAGGAGCUCCUGCUGCAUGGUGGGGGUUGGAAAGUUUCGGCGGUUGGGGAUGGACUCGCGGCUUAUCAGCUUGUUGGUGGGGUAGUGGCUUACCAAGGCUUUGACGGGUAGCCGGCCUGAGAGGGUGACCGGCCACAUUAGGACUGAGAUACGGCCCAGCCUCCUACGGGAGGCAGCAGUGGGGAAGAUUGCACAAUGGGAGGAAGCCUGAUGCAGCAACGCCGCGUGCGGGAUGACGGCCUUCGGGUUGUAAACCGCUUUCGCCUGUGACGAAGCGUGAGUGACGGUAAUGGGUAAAGAAGCACCGGCUAACUACGUG
rnacentral:rRNA from 1 species